rnacentral:rRNA from 1 species
CCUACGGGGGGCAGCAGUGGGGAAUAUUGCACAAUGGGGGAAACCCUGAUGCAGCGACGCCGCGUGAGUGAAGAAGUAUUUCGGUACGUAAAGCUCUAUCAGCAGGGAAGAAAAUGACGGUACCUGACUAAGAAGCCCCGGCUAACUACGUGCCAGCAGCCGCGGUAAUACGUAGGGGGCAAGCGUUAUCCGGAUUGACUGGGUGUAAAGGGAGCGUAGACGGCAGCGCAAGUCUGGAGUGAAAUCCCAUGGCUUAACCAUGGAACUGCUGUGGAAACUGUGCAGCUAGAGUGCAGGAGAGGUAAGCGGAAUUCCUAGUGUAGCGGUGAAAUGCGUAGAUAUUAGGAGGAACACCAGUGGCGAAGGCGGCUUACUGGACUGUAACUGACGUUGAGGCUCGAAAGCGUGGGGAGCAAACAGGAUUAGAUACCCGGGUAGUC